GAUGAACGCUGGCGGCGUGCCUAAUACAUGCAAGUCGAGCGAACAGACGAGGAGCUUGCUCCUCUGACGUUAGCGGCGGACGGGUGAGUAACACGUGGAUAACCUACCUAUAAGACUGGGAUAACCUCGGGAAACCGGAGCUAAUACCGGAUAAUAUAUUGAACCGCAUGGUUCAAUAGUGAAAGACGGUUUUGCUGUCACUUAUAGAUGGAUCCGCGCCGCAUUAGCUAGUUGGUAAGGUAACGGCUUACCAAGGCAACGAUGCGUAGGCGACCUGAGAGGGUGAUCGGGCACUCGAGACGUGAGACGCGGUCCAGACUCCGACGAGAGGCAGCAGUAGGGAAUCUUCCGCAAUGGGCGAAAGCCUGACGGAGCAACGCCGCGUGAGUAAUGAAGAGAUUCGGAUCGUAAAACUCUGUUAUUAGGGAAGAACAAAUGUGUAAGUAACUAUGCACGUCUUGACGGUACCUAAUCAGAAAGCCACGGCUAGCUACGUG
rnacentral:rRNA from 1 species